UCCCUGGUGGCUCAGUGGUAAAGCAUCUGCCUGCCAUGCAGGGGACCCGGGUUUGAUCCCUGGGUGGGGAA
rnacentral:tRNA from 1 species